UCCUACGGGAGGCAGCAGUGGGGAAUAUUGCGCAAUGGGCGAAAGCCUGACGCAGCGACGCCGCGUGGGGGAUGCCGGUCUUCGGCUCGUCCCCCUCUGUCCGCCGGGCCGCACGGUCACUGUGCUAAUCAGCAGUGAAUUGACGGUACCUGCAAAGGAAGCACCGGCUAACUCCGUGCCAGCAGCCGCGGAAAUACGGAGGGUGCGAGCGUUAAUCGGAAUUACUGGGCGUAAAGCGCUCGUAGGCGGUAUGUCAAGUCAAGGGUGAAAUCCCCGCGCUCAACGGGGGAACUGCCUUUGAAACU
rnacentral:rRNA from 1 species